rnacentral:rRNA from 1 species
GACGAACGCUGGCGGCGUGCUUAACACAUGCAAGUCGAGCGGUAAGGCCCUUUCGGGGGUACACGAGCGGCGAACGGGUGAGUAACACGUGGGUGACCUGCCCUCAGCUCUGGGAUAAGCCUGGGAAACUGGGUCUAAUACUGGAUAUGACUCCACGGUGCAUGUCGUGGGGUGGAAAGCCUUGUGCGGCUGAGGAUGGGCCCGCGGCCUAUCAGCUUGUUGGUGGGGGAUGGCCUACCAAGGCGACGACGGGUAGCCGGCCUGAGAGGGCGACCGGCCACACUGGGACUGAGACACGGCCCAGACUCCUACGGGAGGCAGCAGUGGGGAAUCUUGCGCAAUGGGCGGAAGCCUGACGCAGCGACGCCGCGUGAGGGAU